CGGGACACGUGGUAUCCUGUCUGAAUAUGGGGGGACCAUCCUCCAAGGCUAAAUACUCCUGACUGACCGAUAGUGAACCAGUACCGUGAGGGAAAGGCGAAAAGAACCCCGGCGAGGGGAGUGAAAAAGAACCUGAAACCGUGUACGUACAAGCAGUGGGAGCACGCUUAGGCGUGUGACUGCGUACCUUUUGUAUAAUGGGUCAGCGACUUAUAUUCUGUAGCAAGGUUAACCGAAUAGGGGAGCCGAAGGGAAACCGAGUCUUAACUGGGCGUUAAGUUGCAGGGUAUAGACCCGAAACCCGGUGAUCUAGCCAUGGGCAGGUUGAAGGUUGGGUAACACUAACUGGAGGACCGAACCGACUAAUGUUGAAAAAUUAGCGGAUGACUUGUGGCUGGGGGUGAAAGGCCAAUCAAACCGGGAGAUAGCUGGUUCUCCCCGAAAGCUAUUUAGGUAGCGCCUCGUGAAUUCAUCUCCGGGGGUAGAGCACUGUUUCGGCAAGGGGGUCAUCCCGACUUACCAACCCGAUGCAAACUGCGAAUACCGGAGAAUGUUAUCACGGGAGACACACGGCGGGUGCUAACGUCCGUCGUGAAGAGGGAAACAACCCAGACCGCCAGCUAAGGUCCCAAAGUCAUGGUUAAGUGGGAAACGAUGUGGGAAGGCCCAGACAGCCAGGAUGUUGGCUUAGAAGCAGCCAUCAUUUAAAGAAAGCGUAAUAGCUCACUGGUCGAGUCGGCCUGCGCGGAAGAUGUAACGGGGCUAAACCAUG
rnacentral:rRNA from 4 species